GAAAAAGCCCUCACCUUCCAGGGGCUCACUCUAUGAGAAGAGAGAGAGAAUCCCCCUGAUAGAGGGCCAUAUUAGGAGGUACGAACAAGAGUUCAGCAAGGAGGCAAAUUAGGAAUAGGGACGGGUGUUCCAGCUACUUACUCAGGUUUGGCAAAUAGUCGAGGGGAAGCUUUCUUCCUCUCUCCAAUGUAUUCCACUGCUAGACUGAGGUCAAUAAGGAAAGGAGCUGAUAUGCUUUUCCUUCUGCCCAGGAAUCCGGCAAUUCUGUCGUGAUGUGAAGGUCAUGCUUGGCUUUAGCCCAGGCCUAUUCUGGAAGAUAUGCUGGGUAGCGAUCAGUCCUGCCUUCUUAGCCUUUAUAAUCAUCAGCUCCCUCCUGGACCAGUCUCCUCUUGUGCUAUUUGGCUACCGCUAUCCAGCCUGGAGCAUCUCCAUUGGGCAUCUGAUCAGCACUUCGUCAUUUAUCUGCAUCCCCAUCUACAUGGCCUACAAACUCAUCUGGACUCCUGGGUCUCUCAAGCAGCGCCUUGAGGUCUGUCUGACACCAGAGAAGCCACAUCCAGGUCAGCCACCUGAUUCCAUCUGUUUGCGUCCUUAAUUCCAUCCAAUCCACCUGGAAGCCCGCCAGCCAUCUUGGAUCAGGUCACCCGUCUACAGGAAUGGCAGCAGAGUCAAGCUCUUCCCUCUCAAUUCCUAUCCUACUCUCUACCCACCUUAGAACAAGUCCCAUGGGCUGGGGUUCAGGUGUUUCAACUCUUCAUGCCCCCCCCCAUUUGGGGCUUCCUUAGCAAAGAUGCCGGGGUAAUUUAUCACAUCCUUCUCCAGGGCAACCCAUUUUACAGAUGAGGAACUGAGACAAAUAAGUGACUUAUCCAAGGUCGCACAGCUAAUAAGUGUUUGAAUCUGGAUUGGAACUCGGGUCUUCCCAACUCUGGGUCUGGGGAUCUAUCUACUGUGCCACCACGCUGCCCCAAGGGGGAUGUACCAACCCAAUAAAUCUCCAGAGCUCUAGAAGAGCUGCUCAAAUCGAGGUUUGCUGAGCAGUUCUAAAUGGCAGCCAACAAAUAGUGAAUAAGACUAGGUCAGUGCUGGGAUUCCCACAGGAGCCCUGGCCAAAGACUCUUUCCUAAAUUCGUCUUUGAAUGUUCUUUCUUUAAAUUUAUCAAUUUAGUUGUUUGUUGGUUACAUUAAAAUUCUCCAGUAUCUCGCCCACUCCCUCCCCGUCCCUCGCCAGAGAAGGCAUCGCCCAGCGAGAAAUACUUCUGUAUAAAGGAUACCUUUUGUAUUUCUAAUUGUCCAAUCAGCUCCUUCUCUGGAGAUGGACACAUCCCAGUUAUUCUUCCAAUAUUCAUUCCAUAGCUGUAGAGCCGACGUUCUCUUGGUUCUAUUCUUUUCGCUCUUCAUUAUUUCAUGUAGAUCUUUCCAAACGGUAAAAUACUAACCCAUCCCUUGUUUCCUACAGCCCAGUAGUAUUCUAGCAGUCUUUGAAGAUUCUUUUUUCUUUAAAUUCAUCCCUUCUGUCUUAGAAUCACUACUGUUCACUGGUUCUAAAGCAGAGGAACAGUAAGGGCUAGGCAAUGGGGGUUAAGUGACUUGUCCAGGGUCACACAGUUAGGAAGUGUUGGAGAAGCCAGGACCUCCCCUCUCUAGGCUUGGCUUUCAAUCCACUGAGCCACCCAGCUGCCCCUUUGAAUUUUUUUAAAUAAAAACCCUCACCUUCUGUAUUGGAAUCAAUACUGUGUAUUAGUUCCAAGGCAGAAGAGUGGUAAGGGCUAGGAAAUGGGGGCCAAGUGACUUGUCCAGGGUCACACAGUUAGGAAGUGUCGGAGGUCAUAUUUGAACCCAGGACCUCCCCUCUCUAGGUUUGGCUUUCAAUCCACUGAGCCACCCAGCUGCCCCUUUGAAUUUUUUUAAAUAAAAACCCUCACCUUCUGUAUUGGAAUCAAUACUGUGUAUUAGUUCCAAGGCAGAAGAGUGGUAAGGGCUAGGAAAUGGGGGCCAAGUGACUUUCCCAGGGUCACAUAACUAGGAAGUGUCUGAGGCCAGAUUUGAACCCAGGACCUCCUAUCUCUAGGCCUGGCUGUCAAUCCACUGAGUCACCCAGCUGUUCCCCACCCUUUGAAUAUUCUUAAGAUCAAUUGGUAUUACUCCUUCCCACUUCUGUUAAUGUGCCUGGGUGGUAUAGAGGGUCCCAAAAGGUUUAGGGCAGUCUUAAGCUUUGUUGUUAUUUAGUCAUUUUUAGUUGUGUCCAAUUCUUCAUGACCCCAUUCGGGGUUUUCCUGGCAAAGAUACUGGAGUGGUUUGCUAUUUGCUUCUCCAGCUCAUUUUACAGAUGUAGAAACUGAGGCAACCAAGGUUAAGUCAUUUGACCAGGGUUUGUGAUUUCCUUCUCCAGCUCAUUUUACAGAGGAAGAAACUGAGGCAACCAGGGUUAAGUCAUUUGACCAGGGUUUGUGAUUUCCUUCUCCAGCUCAUUUUACAGAUGUAGAAACUGAGGCAACCAGGGUUAAAUCAUUUGACCAGGGUUUGUGAUUUCCUUCUCCAGCUCAUUUUACAGAGGAAGAAACUGAGGCAACCAGGGUUAAGUCAUUUGACCAGGGUUUGUGAUUUCCCUCUCCAGCUCAUUUUACAGAGGAAGAAACUGAGGCAACCAGGGUAAAGUAAUUUGACCAGGGUUUGCCAUUUGCUUCUCCGGCUCAUUUUACAGAGGAAGAAACUGAGGCAACCAGGGUUAAGUCAUUUGACCAGGGGUUGCCAUUUGCUUCUCCGGCUCAUUUUACAGAGGAAGAAACUGAGGCAACCAGGGUUAAGUCAUUUGACCUGGGGUUGCCAUUUGCUUCUCCGGCUCAUUUUACAGAGGAAGAAACUGAGGCAAAUAGGGUCAAGUUACUUGCUCAGGGUCACCUAGCUAGUGUCUUCAACCAGAUUUGCACUCAGGAAGAUAAGGAUUCCUGAUUUCAGGGCCCAGUGUUCUAGCCACUGCACUACCCAGCCUCAAGCUACCCAAGUGUAAAAUUGUUUAAAGCUCUUAAAGCUGCAUUAAGAGUUUGGAGACACUCUUUACACUCUUUAUACUCCUGCUGGAAGCCUUUCGCAUCGUCUCUCCUGACACUAAUUAGCUUUCGUUUGAUUCUAUAAGCAUCUAUUAAGCGCCAGGGAAGCCAAGACAAAAAUGACCCUCAGGGUGUCUCUCGUCUUACAAGGGGAGAUGACGUGCUCCCGGAUAAGAAAGUACAAACCAUAUACAGUGAAGACACAGAAGGAGUAUUGUGGGGCCCCCUACAAACCGCAUUUGCUUUUAAUGGAGAGUUUUCAGGCUUCCAAGGCGCUUUAUCAUUCGAGGAGGGAGAAAUCUACCUUCUCUGGGGAUCAGACCAGGCUUCCAACAGGAAGAGAGGAGACAGAGGCAUUCCUUCUUCCACAGCUGACCUUGAUGCUCCCUCCUCUAAGUUUCAAGACACUCCGAUGCCCAGUUCUAAAUUAACUUGCAAUUUCAUUGGUCCGUCAUUCCAAUCAUGUCUGACUCUUGGUGACUCCUUUUGGGUAGUUUUCUUGGCAGAGACAAUUUGCCAUGUCCUUCUCCUGCUCAUUUCCCAAAUGAGGAAACUGAGGCAAAUAGGCUGACAUGACUUGACCAGGGUCACAUGGCUGCUAAGUGUUGAGGGCAGAUUUGAACUCAGAAAGAUGAGUUUUCCUGACUCCAGACCCAGCACUCUAUCCACUGUGCCACCUGGCUCCUUGAUGCUGUUUUAUACAAAAUCAACUAAUCCUAAUACAUUUCCUCUUCCAUGCCUUCCGACUAGACAGUCCCACUUUGUCUAACGCCUUUGAUUGGUUGAUUUAGUGGAGACGUCUAGUUCAGAUCCAGUUCACACUUCCAAUUGAUUAAUUUAAUGUAGAAUUCCCAGACCUCUAUAAUGAUUGAGGUAUGAGUAUGCAACAUCCCUCUUAAAAAAAAACUCCGGAUUCCUCUGCAUCGAGACGGAAAUGUAACGUCCUUCAAGGCUCAGUGCAUCCUCCAUCUUCCAUAGGAAACCUUUCCUGAUCCCCUGAGCCCUCCGUGCUCUCUCCCUCACCCUCUCCUUAAUCAUAGAUACUUCUGUGUCCAUGUUGUAUCUCCUCACUAGAAUGUAAGCUCCAAGGGGGCAAGGAUUGUUUCAUUUUCUGAAUCUUUGUUUCCCCUGUACCCAGCACGUUGCCUCCCACACAGCUGUUCUUAAUAAAUGGUGCUUGGAUUGGCUCCGA